AUGGUUCGAUGAUCAAAGAUGGCUUCUUGCUAUCACUCACAGAUGGGCCCGCGGCGCAUUAGUUAGUUGGUGAGGUAACGGCUCACCAAGGCGACGAUGCGUAGCCGACCUGAGAGGGUGAUCGGCCACACUGGGACUGAGACACGGCCCAGACUCCUACGGGAGGCAGCAGUAGGGAAUCAUCCGCAAUGGACGCAAGUCUGACGGUGCAACGCCGCGUGAGCGAUGAAGGUCUUCGGAUCGUAAAGCUCUGUUGUGAGGGAAGAACAAGUGCCGUUCGAAUAGGGCGGCACCUUGACGGUACCUCACCAGAAAGCCCCGGCUAACUACGUGCCAGCAGCCGCGGUAAUACGUAGGGGGCAAGCGUUGUCCGGAAUUAUUGGGCGUAAAGCGCGCGCAGGCGGUUCCUUAAGUCUGAUGUGAAAGGCCACAGCUCAACUGUGGAGGGCCAUUGGAAACUGGGGAACUUGAGGACAGAAGAGGAGAGCGGAAUUCCACGUGUAGCGGUGAAAUGCGUAGAUAUGUGGAGGAACACCAGUGGCGAAGGCGGCUCUCUGGUCUGUAACUGACGCUGAGGCGCGAAAGCAUGGGUAGCGAACAGGAUUAGAUACCCUGGUAGUCCAUGCCGUAAACGUUGAGUGCUAGGUGUUAGGGGGUCCAACCCUUAGUGCUGCAGUUAACGCAAUAAGCACUCCGCCUGGGGAGUACGAGCCGCAAGGCUGAAACUCAAAGGAAUUGACGGGGGCCUGCACAAGCGGUGGAGCAUGUGGUUUAAUUCGACGCAACGCGAAGAACCUUACCAGGUCUUGACAUCUUCGGACAGCCCAAGAGAUUGGGUCUUCCCUUCGGGGACCGAAUGACAGGUGGUGCAUGGUUGUCGUCAGCUCGUGUCGUGAGAUGUUGGGUUAAGUCCCGUAACGAGCGCAACCCCUGAUCUUAGUUGCCAGCAUUCAGUUGGGCACUCUAGGAUGACUGCCGGUGACAAACCGGAGGAAGGCGGGGAUGACGUCAAAUCAUCAUGCCCCUUAUGACCUGGGCUACACACGUGCUACAAUGGAUGGUACAAAGGGAAGCCAAACCGCGAGGUCGAGCUAAUCCCAUAAAGCCAUUCUCAGUUCGGAUUGUAGGCUGCAACUCGCCUGCAUGAAGCCGGAAUCGCUAGUAAUCGCGGAUCAGAAUGCCGCGGUGAAUACGUUCCCAGGCCUUGUACACACCGCCCGUCACACCACGAGAGUUGGCACACC
rnacentral:rRNA from 1 species